GAGUCAGGUUUUAAUUGGCAUUGCAUGCAUUGUCAUUGUUCGUAGAGUUAAUACGUCAUGGAAAACUUUGGAUUAUUUGGCACGACAAAUCCGAAAUCGAUAAUUUCUGCCAUAUAAAUAAUUCACAAAAAAUGCCACUUUAAAUCAAUGCUAAACGAACGUGUGCCUCCACAUGAUUAGACUUUUGAUAAGAACUUUCGACUCACAACUCACAUGCAGGCAAAUGAAGUUAUUUAUAGCAAUCUGUUUUUUGCGCUGAUUUACAAGAUCUAUAAAUAACAUACAGGUUAAGUACUACACAAAGUCUAGACUCAUCACAGGAAAUAACCCAAUUAAAUGUGGAAUUUCAACUCAAAAAAAUUCAAUGAUAAGAACACCGAGACGGUGUUGUAAAACGAAUCUGUUUGCCAAUGAACAGUGUUGCAAGACGAUGAAAAGUGCUGCCAACUUCAAAUACGUGGGCUGCCAAUCAACUAGUUUCGACUUCAUUAUCAAUUCAAUUCAAAUUCAAAUACUAAAACACCAGACUCAGCAGCAUGUGAAUCUGAAUCUGGAAUUGGAUUUGGAAUUGCCAACGAAAUCUCGGUGUCUUUAAAUCUACAUCUGCGAAUCGAGUUUCGAGUUAGGAUUUGAGUCAUUUUACUUUUUUUUCGCUGAGCUGAUAUACAUACAAACAUAUAUAUGCGUGUGCGUACACCCGAGACGGACGCCGCACAAUUCUUUUAUUUUGAUUUCCGUCGCUGCUUUGCGUCACCAGCAACGCGUUCAGUCGUCGACAGCAGUCGGGCCCCCCUAAUGCUGGGAUCCAUAUACGUACAUAUGCACAUACAAACGCAACGCGGACUAUGUGAAUGUGUGUGUGUGUGUUCCCGUGGUUUCAACACACGCUAAUAGAUGUCGCUGCUGUAGUUGUUGUUGUUGCUGGCGCUGCCUGUCGCCUGUUGGCAACAUGAAAUGCAACGUCAAAGGUAAAAAUAAAUAAAUAAUAAUGCAAUAAAAAAAUGGCAAAAAGUAAUAAAAUUGCAAGUCGCCUCAUCGCACAAAAAAGAAAAACAAAAUGUACUAAUAAAAGCUGCACAAGCCAUAUAAAUCCAUAAUAAUAAUAAUACUUUGCAGUUCAGCGUCUGCUGAUUGUUGUGAGUUCAAUUUUGAUUGAUGUCUUGUUACAAAACAAAUAAUAUAAAACUUAACGAAUCUGUCACAAUAAAUUAAUGUGCAAUAGACGAAUGCUAAAUACGCUGUCAAGUAAAUUAUUCAAAAUAAUAAUUAGGACUGAAAACUAGAAAAGUGUGAAUACGAAAAUUAAAAUAAAGAAAAAAACCAAUAUAUUAAAUUUAGAUAUUAUUGACAAAAUACAAAAUGAAAUACUUAUUUGCAUAAUGUAUUUAAUGUAAUUUGAAU